GAGGUCCCGCCUGCCCAGUGAAACAUUUAACGGCCGCGGUAUCCUAACCGUGCAAAGGUAGCGUAAUCACUUGUCUUCUAAAUAAAGACUAGUAUGAACGGCUAAAUGAGGACAAAACUGUCUCUUAUGAUUAAUCAGUGAAACUGAUCUCUCAGUACAAAAGCUGAGAUGCUCACAUAAGACGAGAAGACCCUGUGGAGCUUAAAACUAACCACUACCUAUAAAAUAGUGCUAAAUUUAAGUUGGGGCGACUUCGGGAUAAAAUAAAACUCCCGAGCACAGAAACACCUCUUCUCACCAAGGCCAACAAGCCAAAGUACAUUAACUUGACCCAGUCUUACUGAUCAACGAACCAAGUUACCCCAGGGAUAACAGCGCUAUCUUCUUCAAGAGUCCCUAUCGACAAGAAGGUUUACGACCUCGAUGUUGGAUCAGGACACCCAAAUGGUGCAGCCGCUAUUAAAGGUUCGUUUGUUCAACGAUUAACAGUCCUACGUGAUCUGAGU
rnacentral:rRNA from 1 species